CUGACGCUGAGGAGCGAAAGCGUGGGGAGCGAACAGGAUUAGAUACCCUGGUAGUCCACGCCGUAAACGGUGGGUGCUAGUUGUGGGCCACAUUCCACGUGGUCCGUGACGCAGCUAACGCAUUAAGCACCCCGCCUGGGGAGUACGGUCGCAAGACUAAAACUCAAAGGAAUUGACGGGGGCCCGCACAAGCGGCGGAGCAUGCGGAUUAAUUCGAUGCAACGCGAAGAACCUUACCAAGACUUGACAUAUAGAGGAAAAGCGUAGAAAUACGCUCCCCGCAAGGUCUCUAUACAGGUGGUGCAUGGUUGUCGUCAGCUCGUGUCGUGAGAUGUUGGGUUAAGUCCCGCAACGAGCGCAACCCUCGUCCUAUGUUGCCAGCACGUAAUGGUGGGAACUCAUGGGAGACUGCCGGGGUCAACUCGGAGGAAGGUGGGGAUGACGUCAAAUCAUCAUGCCCCUUAUGUCUUGGGCUUCACGCAUGCUACAAUGGCCGGUACAGAGGGCUGCAAUACCGUAAGGUGGAGCGAAUCCCAAAAAGCCGGUCUCAGUUCGGAUUGAGGUCUGCAACUCGACCUCAUGAAGUCGGAGUCGCUAGUAAUCGCAGAUCAGCAACGCUGCGGUGAAUACGUUCCCGGGCCUUGUACACACCGCCCGUCAAGUCACGAAAGUCGGUAACACC
rnacentral:rRNA from 1 species